CACGAAGCAAGCAGGGCAGAGCCAGACACCAGAAGCUGACAGCUUUGGGGGAGUUGACAUCGUGACAUGCUGCACCCUCCAUCUUGCUUCUCACUCAGCAGGCGUUCUGCUGGCCUAAACAAGAAGAACAGAGGAAGAGGCUUUGCUGGGGAGCAGGAAGAGGAGAGAGGAAGACAAUGUUGAUUCCGUCCAGACCUGAAACAGCUCCUUCUGCAACUGCAGAGUCCGUGGCUCACACUGACGCCUCCCAUCCCCCUGUGCUGUACUUUAUUUCAUGGUUAACAUGCUGGGGUUUACCUGAUACAGUCCAUACAGUCUGUUGUUUCAAACAUCAAGAUAAUGAAAAAUACGACUCAUUUGGCUGCACAGUUUGCUGGACAAGAGCACAGAUUUGAGAAAAUCUUUCAACUAAACCUUGAGCUUGUAUCACUGCACGUCAUCAUUUUUUAGCCAGUGUUUUGGGCAGUAUUCUAUUGCUGUGAAAGGACACCAUGACUGUGGUAACUCUUGUAAAGGAACAUGUGGAAGGAGCAUGGUGGCACACAGGGAGAUGUUCAUGGUAUGGAAGAAGAAGAUAAGAGUUCUACGCCAGAUGCACAGGCAACAGAAAGAGCGAAGCCCAUCUCCAGUGACACACUUUCUCCAACAAGGCCACACCUCUUAAUCCUGUAGGCAAAACGUUUUUCUAUCUUCUGUGUAAAGAUGAACUAGUAAUACAAAUUACCUCCAAUAAUUUAUAACAACUAUUAAACCAAGGUAUAAAUUCUCCUGUUCAUAGAAAUAAAUGUCUUAGUGUCAGAUUAAAGGUAAUGUAUGAGUCUGU
rnacentral:lncRNA from 1 species